AGCUUUCUGAAUCCGUGCAGAGAUUUCGUCAGAUACCAACCAAUUAGGGUUGAUCAGAAUUCCAAGAUAAGUGAAGUU
rfam:Schistosoma haematobium scaffold997_4, whole genome shotgun sequence.